rnacentral:lncRNA from 1 species
GAGAUUAUGCCUAAUUCUAAGCAUGAUGUCAAAAAGAGUAGAUAUUAUCUUAUAUUAGUUAUAAAAUUAUUUUAAUUAUUAUUAAAUUACAUUAUAAAUUAAUAUAAGCAUAUCUUAAAUAUUUCAUUCAGAAAAUAAAUGUAUCUUAAAUAUAAUAUAUUUGCAAGAGUCGCCUUUUGUUUUGCUGGAAGACAAGCCAACACCGUCGCUCACACAUUGGUUAGAGAAGGUUGUCGAUUCUCGGUCCUGCGGUACUGGAUUGAGGAAGCGUUAUUGAUGGUGGAACGGGCGGCCAUAAGGAACCUACAACAAUGGUUUCAGCAGAAUUAAUAUGCACCUGAUUGCUUUGAAAUUUGGAGAUUUUUAAAUCAUUUACCUCCAACUGUUUCGAAAGCUCUUCUCUCUCUUUUGAUAUCAACGGUUUGUUCAUGUACCAGUAUUUUGGAGCUUGGAUCGGAGAGAAUUUUCCGAUCGGUUUUCAUCAAUUUAGGCGGAAAGAAAGGAAAGAGUUUUGUGUUUUUCUUUUUAGAUGGUAACCUUUCCUUAUCUGUUGAUUGCCAUUUCAAAUCUCGAGCAAUGUAUAGAAAGCCCAAGGAUGCUUUAUUUGUCUUGUGGUUUAUUGGGUUGGUGCAUUAAACUAAUGGAAGUUGGUUUUUUCUUGUUUUAAAA